rnacentral:rRNA from 1 species
CAAGGAAGGCAGCAGGCGCGCAAAUUACCCACUCCCGGCACGGGGAGGUAGUGACGAAAAAUAACGAUACGGGACUCAUCCGAGGCCCCGUAAUCGGAAUGAGUACACUUUAAAUCCUUUAACGAGGAUCAAUUGGAGGGCAAGUCUGGUGCCAGCAGCCGCGGUAAUUCCAGCUCCAAUAGCGUAUAUUAAAGUUGUUGCGGUUAAAAAGCUCGUAGUCGAAUCUGUGUCGUGCGCCGCCGGUUCAUCGCUCGCGGUGUCAACUGGCGUGUCGCAGGACGUCCUGCCGGUGGACUUAGCCGCUUGGUCGUCUCGCGCGGCCUCGCGGCGGUCCAACUUUAACAAUCCCACCGCGGUGCUCUUCGCUGAGUGUCGAGGUGGGCCGGCACGUUUACUUUGAACAAAUUAGAGUGCUUAAAGCAGGCUAAAAUUUCGCCUGAAUACUGUGUGCAUGGAAUAAUGGAAUAGGACCUCGGUUCUAUUUUGUUAGUUUUCGGAACCCCGAGGUAAUGAUUAAUAGGAACGGAUGGGGGCAUUCGUAUUGCGACGUUAGAGGUGAAAUUCUUGGAUCGUCGCAAGACGGACUUAAGCGAAAGCAUUUGCCAAAAACGUUUUCAUUGAUCAAGAACGAAAGUUAGAGGUUCGAAGGCGAUCAGAUACCGCCCUAGUUCUAACCAUAAACGAUGCCAGCUAGCGAUCCGCCGACGUUCCUCCGAUGACUCGGCGGGCAGCUUCCGGGAAACCAAAGCUUUUGGGGUUCCGGGGGAA